AAACAUGGCGGCGGCGGGUGUUGUGAGCGGGAAGGGUGGAUGCUGAUAUACUGCUUGACUUACUGCAUAUUUGAAGAUUAUCCUGUUUGAUUUUCCAUCUAAACUGAUCCAGGCUGGGACUUUUCAAGAGGGGAUCCCUUCCGUUUAAACAUCUCCCUCUUUCAGAUUAUAUAUGAACAAGAAGGAGUAUAUAUUCACUCAUCUUGUGGAAAGACCAAUGACCAAGACGGCUUGAUUUCAGGAAUAUUACGUGUUUUAGAAAAGGAUGCCGAAGUAAUAGUGGACUGGAGACCAUUGGAUGAUGCAUUAGAUUCCUCUAGUAUUCUCUAUGCUAGAAAGGACUCCAGUUCAGUUGUAGAAUGGACUCAGGCCCCAAAAGAAAGAGGUCAUCGAGGAUCAGAACAUCUGAACAGUUACGAAGCAGAAUGGGACAUGGUUAAUACAGUUUCAUUUAAAAGGAAACCACAUACCAAUGGAGUUUGACAGACCUGAAAUCAAUCAAGCAAAACAAAGAGGGUAUGGGCUGGUCCUAUUUGGUAUUCUGUCUAAAGGAUGAC
rnacentral:sRNA from 1 species